CUUGCGGCGUGCUUAACACAUGCAAGUCGAGCGGAGAUUGCAUUUAUGUAAUCUUAGCGGCGGACGGGUGAGUAACGCGUAGGCAACCUGCCUUGCACAGAGGGAUAACACCGGGAAACUGGUGCUAAUACCACAUGAUAUCAUAACAAGGCAUCUUGAAAUGAUCAAAGGAUAAAUCCGGUGCAAGAUGGGCCUGCGUCCGAUUAGUUAGUUGGUGAGGUAACGGCUCACCAAGGCGACGAUCGGUAGCCGAACUGAGAGGUUGAUCGGCCACAUUGGGACUGAGACACGGCCCAGACUCCUACGGGAGGCAGCAGUGGGGAAUAUUGCGCAAUGGGGGGAACCCUGACGCAGCAACGCCGCGUGAAGGAAGAAGGCCUUCGGGUUGUAAACUUUUUUGAUUGGGGAAGAAAAAAAUGACGGUACCCAAGGAACAAGCCACGGCUAACUACGUGCCAGCAGCCGCGGUAAUACGUAGGUGGCGAGCGUUGUCCGGAAUUACUGGGUGUAAAGGGCGUGUAGGCGGGAUUGUAAGUCAGAUGUGAAAUUCCAGGGCUUAACUCUGGAGGUGCAUCUGAAACUAUAAUUCUUGAGUGCUGGAGAGGAAAGCGGAAUUCCUAGUGUAGCGGUGAAAUGCGUAGAUAUUAGGAAGAACACCAGUGGCGAAGGCGGCUUUCUGGACAGUAACUGACGCUGAGGCGCGAAAGCGUGGGGAGCAAACAGGACUAGAUACCCUGGUAGUCCACGCUGUAAACGAUGGAUACUAGGUGUAGGAGGUAUCGACCCCUUCUGUGCCGGAGUUAACACAAUAAGUAUCCCACCUGGGGAGUACGGCCGCAAGGCUGAAACUCAAAGGAAUUGACGGGGGCCCGCACAAGCAGUGGAGUAUGUGGUUUAAUUCGAAGCAACGCGAAGAACCUUACCAGGGCUUGACAUCCCUCGGAUAACAUAGAGAUAUGUUAGUCCUUCGGGACGAGGAGACAGGUGGUGCAUGGUUGUCGUCAGCUCGUGUCGUGAGAUGUUGGGUUAAGUCCCGCAACGAGCGCAACCCCUAUUGUUAGUUGCCAUCAUUAAGUUGGGCACUCUAACGAGACUGCCGGUGACAAAUCGGAGGAAGGUGGGGACGACGUCAAAUCAUCAUGCCCCUUAUGUCCUGGGCUACACACGUACUACAAUGGUCACUACAAAGGGAAGCAAUACCGCAAGGAGGAGCAAAUCCCCAAAGGUGACCUCAGUUCGGAUUGUGGGCUGAAACCCGCCCACAUGAAGUCGGAAUUGCUAGUAAUGGCAGGUCAGCAUACUGUCGUGAAUACGUUCCCGGGCCUUGUACACACCGCCCGUCACACCAUGAGAGUUUGCAACACCCGAAGUC
rnacentral:rRNA from 1 species